rnacentral:lncRNA from 1 species
AGGUGGUGAUGUGAAUCAGAGGAACCGACACUUGGCUGAGUCUGUUCCUCCUUUGCCUCUAGAACUUGUUCCUGGCAUUCUGCAUCCUGUUCACGGUUAUCUGUAUCCUGAAGAUUGUUGUGUCUGUGGCUUCCCUGGGACUAAGUCUCCGGAGUAUGUGUGGCCGGAACUCCCAGGUCUUGAAUGAUGAAGAGACAGAGAAGAAGCUUCUUGGGGGGGAUUCGGCACCGGCCUCCCCGACCAAAGAGAAGAUUCCUGUUACCCCAUGAGCUGUCCAAACCCACAUGUGUCCCUGUCCAGAGUAAUCCAGGGAGAACGGCACUGAUCCUAAGGCCUCUUCUGGCCCCGCAGCACAUGCUUACUUCUGAUGUAGCCACUGUCCAGCCCUUUUUCUCUUCCUGUCUCCCCGCUGUCCUCACACCAAUGUCCUUUCUUCCAUGAACAGAUAUUAUGUCAUUUUCUCCAAUGCUGAUAAAGCAG